UGUUUCCACUGAUUAUGUAUCAGGUAGAUUAUGUGCUUUAAUCAUGCUCUCGUCUCACUGAUCGGCUGAUGUGCUCACUGUGUUUCCUGCUUAUCCAGGCCACCAGAUGUCAAAAUCCGGGGGCUUUGUGCGAGUCAGGACCACAUUCUCAGCACUGGCAGGAGAGAAAGAAGAUGAUGACAGAUGUGAAGCGCACAAUGCUGAUGGCCCCUGAUGAGGACCGUAGAUAAUGAGCUUUUGGGAAAACAAAGGGAAGGCUUCGUCAUUGGCUGAGGACAGGGUACACCCUGCACCAUCACACGGUCACACAUCAUAUCAACAACCAUUCACACUCACUCAUCUUUGUAUUGUCAACCUACAAUGUCAAACUAAACUAAUCUGCAUGUUUUGGAACCAAAAGAACUAAGAGACAAGAAAACAUGACAAGGAAAUACAAACUCUAUUAUCUAAAUUCCUAUUUUGAUUCAAAACGUCCUGUAAGAUUUAAACAAACCACAGGAAGCUUUGGCCAAAAUUUUCAAAGGCACUGUCUAAAAUAAUCAAGCUUUGUUCCUUCAAGCUGAUUGUCAUUCAACAGCUUUAGCCGCUGUCCUCAACAAGGGGUCGCUUGACACCGGCAGAACAAUGAGUGAUUGCACAGAGGAACAAUUUCAAAGCAGCAUUAUGUGUCUCUGCACCUGCCACUGUCUGAAGACAGACACGUCACUUGAGACACAGCAGCACCACAGGCAGGAAGUGGAACCAAAAGUACAUUAGUCAUUGAUGUCCUU